GGCCCAUUAGUCAAGUGGUUAAGACAUAACUUUUUCAUCGUUACAUACCUGGGUUCGAACCCCAGAUGGGUCA